GCGGGUGUUGUUCAAUGGUAGAAUGCGAGCUUCCCAAGCUUGAGACGCGGGUCCGAUUCCCGUCACCCGCUCCA
rnacentral:tRNA from 1 species